AUUGAACGCUGGCGGCAUGCCUUACACAUGCAAGUCGAACGGUAACGGGUUAAGCCGACGAGUGGCGAACGGGUGAGUAAUAUAUCGGAACGUGCCCAGUCGUGGGGGAUAACGUAGAGAAAUUUACGCUAAUACCGCAUACGAUCUAAGGAUGAAAGCGGGGGACCUUCGGGCCUCGCGCGAUUGGAGCGGCUGAUAUCAGAUUAGGUUGUUGGUGAGGUAAAAGCUCACCAAGCCGACGAUCUGUAGCUGGUUUGAGAGAACGACCAGCCACACUGGGACUGAGACACGGCCCAGACUCCUACGGGAGGCAGCAGUGGGGAAUUUUGGACAAUGGGCGAAAGCCUGAUCCAGCAAUGCCGCGUGCAGGAAGAAGGCCUUCGGU
rnacentral:rRNA from 1 species